rnacentral:snRNA from 1 species
AGCAGUGGCAGCAAUGCACUAAAGUUGGAACAAUAUAGAGAAAAUUAGCAUGGGCCCUGCGCUGAUGUUUAAUUUUGGGAAAUUCCAUUUUAUUUU